UGCUCAAUGAGUGACAUGACUGGGAGGAGAGAUAUGCUCAAUGAGUGACAUGACUGGGAGGAGAGAUAUGCUCAAUGAGUGAGUAGAGAUAUGCUCAAUGAGUGACAUGUCUGGGAGUAGAGAUAUGCUCAAUGAGUGACAUGUCUGGGAGUAGAGAUAUGAUCAAUGAGUUGACAUGACUAGUGAGUAGAGAUAUCCUCAAUGAAUUGACAUGUCUUGGAGUAGAGAUAUGCUCAAUGAGUGACAUGUCUGGGAGUAGAGAUAUGCUCAAUGAGUUGACAUGACUGUUGCGUACGCAGGCCAUGGAAGUCUUCAUUUUUAGCUUCUGAGAAUUUUAUAUAAAUCAUUGUGACACGGGGCCUCAUCAUGCUGAAACAUGAGGUGAUGGUGGAGGAUGAAUGGCACGCCAACGGGUCCUCAUCAUGCUGAAACAUGAGGUGAUGGUGGCGGAUGAAUGGCACGCCAACGGGGCCUCAUCAUGCUGAAACAUGAGGUGAUGGUGGAGGAUGAAUGGCACGCCAACGGGUCCUCAUCAUGCUGAAACAGGAGGUGAUGGUGGCGGAUGAAUGGCACGCCAACGGGUCCUCAUCAUGCUGAAACAUGAGGUGAUGGUGGCGGAUGAAUGGCACGCCAACGGGUCCUCAUCAUGCUGAAACAGGAGGUGAUGGUGGCGGAUGAAUGGCACGCCAACGGGUCCUCAUCAUGCUGAAACAGGAGGUGAUGGUGGCGGAUGAAUGGCACGCCAACGGGGCCUCAUCAUGCUGAAACAGGAGGUGAUGGCGGCGGAUGAAUGGCACGCCAACGGGUCCUCAUCAUGCUGAAACAUGAGGUGAUGGUGGAGGAUGAAUGGCACGCCAACGGGUCCUCAUCAUGCUGAAACAGGAGGUGAUGGUGGAGGAUGAAUGGCACGCCAACGGGGCCUCAUCAUGCUGAAACAGGAGGUGAUGGUGGAGGAUGAAUGGCACGCCAACGGGUCCUCAUCAUGCUGAAACAGGAGGUGAUGGCGGCGGAUGAAUGGCACGCCAACGGGGCCUCAUCAUGCUGAAACAGGAGGUGAUGGUGGCGGAUGAAUGGCACGCCAACGGGUCCUCAUCAUGCUGAAACAGGAGGUGAUGGUGGCGGAUGAAUGGCACGCCAACGGGGCCUCAUCAUGCUGAAACAGGAGGUGAUGGUGGCGGAUGAAUGGCACGCCAACGGGUCCUCAUCAUGCUGAAACAGGAGGUGAUGGUGGCGGAUGAAUGGCACGCCAACGGGGCCUCAUCAUGCUGAAACAGGAGGUGAUGGUGGAGGAUGAAUGGCACGCCAACGGGGCCUCAUCAUGCUGAAACAGGAGGUGAUGGUGGAGGAUGAAUGGCACGACAACGGGGCCUCAUCAUGCUGAAACAGGAGGUGAUGGUGGCGGAUGAAUGGCACGCCAACGGGGCCUCAUCAUGCUGAAACAGGAGGUGAUGGCGGCAGAUGAAUGGCACGCCAACGGGUCCUCAUCAUGCUGAAACAGGAGGUGAUGGUGGCGGAUGAAUGGCACGCCAACGGGUCCUCAUCAUGCUGAAACAGGAGGUGAUGGCGGCGGAUGAAUGGCACGCCAACGGGUCCUCAUCAUGCUGAAACAGGAGGUGAUGGUGGCGGAUGAAUGGCACGCCAACGGGUCCUCAUCAUGCUGAAACAGGAGGUGAUGGUGGCGGAUGAAUGGCACGCCAACGGGUCCUCU